rnacentral:tRNA from 1 species
AUCGAUAGGGCUGCUUAGCAGGUUACUGUGAUAUAGUAAUGGUAAGGUUUUAAUCUUCGUCGAUA